AGGAGUUUGGUGUAAUGGUAGCACAUGAAACUUUGGAUUUCACGGAAGAGGUUCGAGUCCUCUAACCCCUA
rnacentral:tRNA from 1 species